GACCUCACACGACGAGGUGAAAUGUCAAAAAUGUGCAUGCCAAUGGUUCAAUAUGUUUUAUGCAUAACAUACUUAUAAAGAAGAAAACCGGCCUUCCAAUUCGCAAAAAUCACAAACUUCAGCCAAAAUUAAUUAAAAACAACAAAAUACCCUUCAAUCACAAGUCAUUUGGUGAACGAGGAUUUUAGCACUAUGGUACACCCACAUCUAGACAGUGCUUUUACAACACCAUGCACAGUGACAAGGCAUUUAGUCCUUUCAAUCGUAACAUCUUUUUAGCAACAGCCAAAACAAACGACAUGCCGCCUACAGUGCAGUUACAAUUCCAUGGACAGCAACCUCUGCCUCCACCAUGCAAGUAUCCUUCACCAAAAACCCAUUGCCUGCCUGAUUCAAGGUGGCCAGCGAAAUGAACUUAGGCCAGCCCCAAACCGACUUUGAGGUACUGAACCAGACGUUAUCUGCACAUAAUACACCCUGAUGUUAUGAAGGAUGCAUACAAUUAAACACUGAAAUAGAACAAUCUUUACCUUUUUUGCCCUCUUGUUUGUCAUACAUUCGAUCUAAAAUGAGCAGGGAAAACUCUGCAAAUACUUUGGAACCAGCAAGUUUUUCGGGAUCAUCCAAUUCCAAGUAAAGAGAUAUGUAAGUACCCUUUCCAAGUUAUUUCCCUUGGGAUAGAGACUUAUCUUCCUGCAACAUUAGGAAGGAUAUGAUGACUUUUUAUUACAUAUCUUUCAUUAUUUGGGAUGGGGCCCAAUUCAUCUCACAUCUUUGGGAUUGAAUUAAAAGAGCAAACUCCUACAUCGGAAGCUAAAUUUCAGCAAGUUUUAAGUGAUCCCCUUCUUUACAUAUGAGAGAUUAGGUUUAUGUCCUCCCUGAUUAGGUGUAACUUCUUUUUUCGUUAUUAAUAAAAUUCCCCUCGAACAAUUGAGGUUUUCCUAAAAAUAAAAAUAAAUAAAUAAAGGAAAAAAAAUCAAGUUUUACAGUGAUCGACCACAUCUAUUGCGAAAGUUAUGUAGUUAAAAUAGCAUAUAUAGUUUGAAACUCAAAGUUCAUAUCCUUUCGUUUAUCAUUGCAGGUAAAACAAGAUGAGGGGCAAGAGAUUAUACAGUGGAUUGAAAAUUUAAAGUUCUCUUAUUAAGGGUAUUAAUAUAAAGGGCCUAGCAGAGAUACCAUUUCCGUUCUCCAGCAGUGAAUGGUUCUGAUUCGCAGCACUCAGUACCUAACUUUGAAACGUUCUCAACCUUCCAAACAUGCUUGGACUUAACAGCAUCCUUGAUCUUCGAGAUUGACUCUCCUUUGCCAGCUCUUCUUUCUUUACAAACAAAGACCUCAGCUCCAAUCACACAAUUAUCAUCAAUGACAUAUCCGUUGGAAGGAUUAGUAAAUGAUGCAAGAGUGAUAAGCUUAUCAAAUCCCGAAUGACGCAUCAUCGCAUGGAAACAUUUUUCCUUUUUAUUGGCAUCUAUGGAAUACAUAAGGUAAAAAAUAAUGAUCAGAAAAUGAGCAGGGAGUAUUGCAAUUUUCAAACAAGAAAAAUUUCCGGUCUAUGAAUAUGAACACUUGAUGAGAAUUAACUUUUGAAGUAGGUAAUAUGUACCUUGAAGAACCAGAAACAUGCCUUUAUUCUGAUCAAGCAAAAAGAACCUGAAAUCAACAUAUACUUCAUAUCCAGUCUGAAGUGAAUCAGCUCCAACCAUUUCCAAGUAAACAGAGAUGUGGUCUUCGACAUUUUUCUUCUUGUUUCCAUUCGGGUAGAGCACUAGUUUCCUGAGAGCAAACAUGCAGUAUGGCUAACAUUUUAUUUUUACCAGUUUACAUGCACAGCACAUGAUAUACGAAACACAUUAUUGCAUUACAAAAAAGAAAAUGUCAUAGAACUAAUGUCAGAUAGUGAGAGUGAAACAUAAGUUUGCAGAAGAUGAUAUUAAACUCAAAUUUUAGCAGAUGAUAUAAUGAGGGAUUUACCAUUUGUAUCCUCCAGCUUCAAAUUCUCCCGACUCAUAUUCGUCCGCUGAAGUUUUGGUUAGCACUGAAAACGACCGGAUUUUUAGAGCGUAAUGAGUCGGAGGUGAAUCUGAAAAUGAUGUCGAAAACCCUGAAACAAAAUAGUGUUAAUGCAAGCCCAUACUGUUUUAGACUAAAACCGGUAACAUAAAGCAGAUAAAGUAUUUAACCAUUUUGUUGAAAGAGAUAACAAGCCAUGGCAAUAAAAUUGAAAUUGAUUAAACAACUGUUAAGGCUAAACAAUUAUCUUUUGCUUCAAGAGGGGCUUACCCAUAUAUAAUGUUAUUAGAGAAGGAAUUCCAUGUAGAGAUUUUUCAGUAUGUCUGGAACACAGGGUGGUACACCACAUGUCAUAAUACACUUGGAAAAAACAAAAUUUUCCUCUAAUUGUAUAAUGACAUGUAGCGUAUCAUCCCGCGUUCCGGACAAAUUGAAAAAUAUCUACAUGCAACGUGCUUCCUGCACAUUGGACGAAAUAUGUCUUUUCAUCUCCGUAUUGUAGUAAGUCUAAUAAACUCGGUGUGCAAUCUCUUUCUUUUCCAAUUCAUUAAAAAAAAAAAAAAUGCAACUACUCAAUGGCUUCAUACAUUGUGCCAUUGUGGAUACCGUGGAUUUGGUAAAAUUUGAAAGCGAAAAGAUUGUAUAAAUGAAUACGCGUACACUUUAAUCUUCAAACCAUACAAAGGUCUUUCUUCAAGUACCCACACAAAUCAGGCAAACCUUUCUUCUUCCCAAGCACAAUGAGGCAAUAUUCAUGCCCAUUAAAAUGAAAAUUUGAAACUUUGAAUUAGCUACACAGCUUGAACCCGAGGCACUGAACUAGUUAGAGUCUAGGCACUGCUUUGCGAUAAUAGAAGAAUACGAAAAGGUUCUCAGUUACUGCUGUUGCGAUAAUAGAUUUAGGCACAGCUUUGCAGCUCUAUUGAGAAAUAUUGGAAGCUAAUUUCAACUUUUUCUUUUUCGCUUUAACUUUUUACUUUUGCUUUGCUGUCAACUUUUUCUUUUAGUUUUCUUCUUUUUUCUUUCACUUAUAGUUCUCACUUUAAUGAAAAGAACCUAAUACCUAAGUUCAGAAAUUAAAGUAGUCACGCUCCUACCCCGAGAUAUGACAAAAAACAAACCUAUUGCUUAACAGCGUAGGAGCUUUUCAUUUUACUUUGUUGCUGCACCUAACCUUAGGGUUAGACUGCUGACAUACUUUGUCAAGGGAUCAAGCCAAUCGUAAUUCAUCAUUUUGUUAGCACUAAAAAUCUUUUAUUUGCAAUGACUUCCAAAAACUCUCAUGGUAUUAUCUAGCAUGAAAACACAGAGUUCCAGACAACUCAUAGUUUUACAUUCAACAACAAAUAACGUUUCAAUAACAUCCAAGUCGCACACGAUUUUCGCCUAUACGUUUGUGGAAUCGAGCUCUAUUCGAAAAUACUAGUGAAACCCGGGGACACGAUUUCACAUCCUCCCCCAUAUAGAAAUUUCAUCCUUGAAAUUUUCAAUACCUUUCACACUUCAAACCGUUCCCAGAAUUAUUUAACAUCAAGUUUGACAAUACAUGUCAUUAUAUGCUCGGAUCCCAAGACAUGACCAAAAACACACCAAUAGUUCAACCGCAUAUGAACUUUUCAUUUAUUUUGUGGCUACACCUAACCUUAGGUUUAGACUACCUACUUGCCCUGUGAAGGGAUCAAGCUAAUUGUACUUUGUUGGAGUUUGAAUGUGGACGAAAACCGGUGAAAACUGCCAUGGAAGCCAAGGGUGGCCGAAAUAGUCGCCACUUCGCCGCAAUCGCUUCGAUGGCUGGUCUGAUGUUUGGGUUUUGUAGGCCAAACCCAAGUGAGUGUCUUGGUGGUGGGUGAUGUAUGGGUAGUCGUAGAUGGAAGAUCAUUGGCUGGGAAGCUUGAGAAAAAACGGCGGUUUCAAACCGCCACGAACUGAAACCAAACGAAACAAAGGUUGUUGGAUUGUGAUUGUGAGAGGGAGACGAACCGAAUGGUGGUGGUAACGACAAUUUUGUCGUCUGAUCUGUCGGAAACGGUGCCUGAAAAGCUGCCCAGUGACCAGGUCGAACGUGGGUAGAGGGAGCCAUUUUUAUAUAGCAUUCCAAAUGAUGAAAUUGCCUCUACCUUUGCUUGCUUAUUUUUCUUUCGUUACAACUCCGAUUCAUGCACAAUUUUCGCCUGCAUGUUCGUGGAUCAAGCUCUAUUCAAAAAUUUUAAGAAUGACUCGAAAGGUCUAUGGAUUUUUAAUGACUAAUUACAAAAAACCAAGCUUUGUAACUCUUAAAUUAACGAAAAUUAAAUCAAAUUCCCAAAAAUAAGAAAUACAAAAAAUUUGGAUACUGAAAUCCGGGGACAGGGACGCGAUUUCACACUUCUCUUCAACCAUGGAAAGCAAUCAAAGAGAUGUAUAUAUGGAAACCAAAAUACUUCUGCUCGAGUCUUCCAACUCAAGAGGAUAUUGCUGCACUUCAAGAGGAAAGUAAGUUUUGUUCUGCUCAAAAGGGUUGAAGAAGAUAAGAUCUUGCAAUUAUUGGCUAGUUUAAACUCAGACUAUGAAGAUCUUCGCAUUGACUGAGCUUCUAUCAUUUGCAACUGUUUGUGCCAUAAGUCCAAGAGAAGUACUACGCAGAAAGUUAUGAACAUGGGGAAUCAAGGUGAGUGGUUCAGAAGCUGGAGCAUGUUUAUAUAAAAAAACUAGGAUUGCAGGUGUCACAUCCCAGUCUCGAUUCUGCCGUAGUACGAUAUUGUCCGCUUUGGGCCCCAGCCACACCCUCACGGUUUUGUUUUUGGGAACUCACACGAGAACUUCACAGGGGAUCACCCAUCCUAGGAAUGCUCUCGCCCGAACUCGCUUAACUUCGGAGUUCCAAUGGAAUCCAAAGCCAAUGAGUUCCCAAAAAGUAUCGUGCUAUAUAGAGGUGGGCAUGUACAUAUAAGACACAUCACCCUCUUUCCGUUGGUCGAUAUGGGAUGUUACAAUCCACCCCCCUUAGGGGCCCGACGUCCUCAUUGGCACACUCGCACCGAAUGGCAUAGUGGCUCUGAUACCAUUCUGUCACAUCCAAGACAGGCUCCGUCGUAGCACGAUAUUGUCCUCUUUGGGCCCGGCCACGCCCUCACGGUUUUGUUUCUAGGAACUCACACGAGAACUUCCCAGUGGGUCACCUAUGCUUUGCUGUCAACUUUUUCUUUUUUGUUUUUCUCCUUUUUUUUCUUUCAAUAAUAACCCUCGCUCUAAUGAAAAUGUACGAGAACUUCAUACCGGCUGAUGAGGCUCUCGCUGUGCUUGAGGGUUGUUUUCUAGCUCGGCAAGAAAAUUUGACCUAGGUUGUUAUGGAAUCCAACUUUAUGUCUAUCAUCACUUGGUUAAAGGAAUCAAUUAGCAAAGCGACUUGGGAGGCUUUCCAUGUGCUAACUCGUGUGUUAGACAUUGGUGCCUCAAUGCAUACAUGCAGAUGGUCCUGGAUACCAAGAUUGAGAAAUGAUGCGGCGGAUUUUGUUGCGUCACACCAGGUUCCAGAGAUGCGCAACUCUGUCUGGGUAAAUAAGCCCCUAUCUUUGUUUGUAAGAAUUCUAAAUAAAGAUGGUUUACCUUGCGCCCCCCCCCCCCCCCCCGACUUAGUUUAUUUUGUGUGAGGGUAAGGUCAGACUCUUGCUUUUUGUGGCGGUGUCAUUUGUUUUCUCUGUCCUCAUGGCUGUGUACCUUUGCUUGCCAGUUGCCGGCUUUCCAUGUUUCCUCAACCUUAUGGCUUUGUUUAUGAUAUGAUCAAUUGCAAAACAAAACAAAAAAAAAAAAUUAGAUAUCAUUAAAGUUGUCACGCUCCAAUCCCAAAGCAUGACAAAAAACAAACUAAUAAUUCAACAGUGUAGAAACCUUUCAUUUUACUUUGUUGUGCACCUAACCUGUGAAGCAAUCAAGCCAAUCGUAGUUCAUCAUUUUGCCAAUUGAAAGUUUUGGGAAUUUUGAAGCUCACUGAUCCCAAAUCCAACCAGAAAUUUCUGCGAAUUUUCUGUCAUUGCAGCCCAAAACCGAAACCAUCUUCGAACUGGUACUGAACGGUUCCACACACAUUCGGUUCCACCCCCAUACACCGUAUUGUACCGGUACCAAGAUUUGUUUCGGUUUCGGUUUUGGUUCCACCUCUAUCUCGAACCGAACCGUACUGUGCACAGGGCUAUUUGUGACUACUGUUCUAAAAAUCCCCGCCUAGCACCGCCUAGGCGCUAGGUGGCUGGCCACCGUCCCGAUUAAUGUCUAGACAUUUGAAAAUUAAGAAAUGGUGCCUAGACCAACUGAGGUGCCCACCUAGACCGCCUAGGCACCCGUCCAGACCCAUCUAGGUUGCGACUCACGUAGACAGAAAAUAAAUAACUUUUAAUUUGCAUUUAAUUUUUUUAAUAAGUUGUAAGAGAUUUGUCAAAUACUUAAAUGAGCACACAUUAUAUGCUUGUUUCCCGUGUUUUCAUUAUGUUUCAAUACUUCAUAAUACAUAUGUCAUUCUAUUUUGUAGUUUAUGAUAAAAUUAUAUAUAUUAAGUAUAAACAGAGAAUUAUUUACACGAAAUAUAAUGGAUUUAUUUAAAUCUGUCUAAUCCGCCUAGGCGCCCGCCUAGACCCCGCCUAACCGCCUAGGCGCUACGCCGCAGUCCGCUAUCCGACUAGUGCCUAGCGUCUUUUAGAACCUUGUUUGUGACAAUCAAGCACCAAUGCACAUUGCCUCCAUGCCGUCAAAAUUGGCAAUGAGGAGAGAAGCAUCAAUUUAUAGUAUAUCAAGGUUAAAAUAAUAACAAAGAAACAUAAAAUAAGUGAAGAUGCCAAAUUGUUACAUAAGCCAUCAAAUUUUAAUUUGAUGUUUUAAAUUCAACAUCUCCCUUGGAGAUGCUCUAAGCAUAUCAAAGUCAAUUGUCAUUCAUUCGAAAGAAAGUUUAAUCCCAAACGAUUCAAACUCAUUAUCCUCGCAACCAUGAUCAACUUGUUGAUGUUCUCACCAAGGCCCUACCCAUGACUCAAUUUCAUCGACUUCUAUCCAAGCUUUGAAACAGUCAAUCUCCUUGAUCAGCUUGAGGAUAAAUUUUUCCUUGUGAUGGGAAUAAGGGUGGUACACCACGUGUUUUUAUGUAAGUGGUGGGAAAUUUUAUUUUUUAAGUUAUUAACUUUUUAACACAUAUAUCUCAUCAUUUAUAUAGUAACACGUGGUGUACUACCUCGUAUAUCGGUGACAUUGACAAAUCUCUCCAGCCUGAGGGGAGUAUUAGAAGUCAACUUCAACUUUUUCUUUUUUGCUUUAACUUUUUCUUUUUGAUUUUCUCCUUUUCUCUUUCACUCAUUGCCCAGUAAUUCGGCCUUCAAAGACUCAUCGUUGGAAUUUGUAGUCCCUAAAUUCUAAUAGAAGCAGCACCAGUUUUGAACACGACGCAUCUUACCUGCAGCUUGGUCAAGGCUACCCUUGAUGUGAAGAGGUUAGAAACAAUAGUGUUGAAUUUGUGUUUGCAGUUGAAAAAUAAAAAACUGCUAUCUUCUUUGGUUUGGGAACUUUAACGAAAAGCUUUUGGUACUGUUCACUUUAAUGAAAAACCACAUUUUUACACUAAAAAGUCAAUCUUUAUACUAUUCACUUUACCCUUUAUUUUGUUUUUAUCGUUAAAACUCAAAGUUUUCAAGUCAUUUUUAUUAGUUUUCCUUUUUGGUUUUUGCUCAGGAAAUAUUAACUCGUUAAUUGAUUGAGACAGAGAAUGAGCUUAUCCUUGAAACUUGGUUUAUUGAUCUCUGGUAGAUUAGUUUUGCUUCCCUAUUCUACACCCGCAAAUAUUACAAAAAAAAAACCCUUUUUAGACGAAAGGAUUUCAUCGGGUCAAACACUAUUUCGUCACCCAGGUUUUACCUGGCAAACAUUCGUCGGGUCAAGUUCGUCGCAUAAAACCCGUCGCUGAAACAUUUGCUCGAUAAGACUUUAAUUUUCAUUGCUUAAAGUGCGUUUACCAACUUGACCCGACAAAAAUAAUGUGCUCGACGAACUAGUCGUCGGGCAGUUAAUUUAAAGAAAAAUAAAUAAAAAUACAUGCUCGACGAACGUAUCAUCGGGCAAAAGGUUUAAUUUUUUAAAAAAAAAUCUUAUUUAAAUUAUAUUAAUCUACAAAUCUAAAAAAUAUUUAAUUAUAUAUUUUUUUUUUGAACAAACGAUAAUAUUUACACUAAGGGGAGGGGUGGGCUUAGCCUCACAAUGUGCUAGCAAUAAUGUGGUUCAAAUUCGCCUUUGGCGAGAAUCGAACCUAAUAUCUCUCACAUACAAGUGAGAGAAAUACCACUAGACAGUACUAAGUGGCAAUAUUUAAUUAUAUUAAAACUGAAAUAUUCGUGCAAGUGUAUGUAAAAUAUUCUAAACUAACUACCAGUGGGGGUGGCUCAUGGAUGCCGGCUGAAGGUCAUCAGAGGAUCGGGGGCGCGAAUGCCAAAGGCUGUUAUGCUUGGGCUAUACUAGAAAUGUAGCUCUAAAGCUCCUUCUCUCAAUGGCACGCCGCUUCUUCCCAAGCUUCUUCUCUCAGGUGCGCUUAUUCUGGCUCGCAGGCAACUUCUUGUUAGCUCACUAACUCCAUCUCCAACUGUUACAGUCUAGAAGACGUCGUGCUUGGAAGUUGAAAGCUAGAUGAAGAAGAUCUCUUGAGGUCCCGAACCCGACCCGCUCAUAGGCUACGUAAUUCUUUGCAUUUCCGUCGCCUAACCCCGUCCAUCAGUAACUGUAGAGACACCUGUUAAUGUUGGGCACUUUUAGACUCACAUAAUGGUGUAGGUCGGGAGAGAAGCCACAUAAAGCCCAAGGGAGAUCAAAAAGUCCAAGGUCUAGUGGGCUUAGGAGAGGAUGUUUCUAAGCGCUAAAGCCAACCGCCUAUAAGUUCAGCUCGACUAGGAUAUGUAAAGAACUUUUCGACCUCCAGGGGCACAUGGGCAGGCUGACAGCUUUAUGAUAUAAGUCUCCAAGGACAAGCCUACCCAGAAGUUAACCAAGGCACGUGACGGAUCACAUUUAGUGCCAAAGACCUAAGAUAUGACGUAAAGUUCAACGCUCGAAAAGAUGGGGUUGGAUAACCAAGGCAAGUAGGGCUCUCGACCUGCAUCAUUCUAAAAGUACAUGCAAUCUCGACCAAACACAUGUCACUUCAUCUCCGAAUGUCUAGUUGAUAGGUGAAAAUGUGUUAGUAUGCUAGGCUAUGUAGGUGGCACAUUAAAUGCCAAGUUGGGGAAGACCAAGAUUGUGGGGGAGGGGAGGUUCAUUGAGGGCCUAUAUAAAGGGGCAGGAACCUCCUAUAUUGGGGUUAGACGACUGAAGGGGGAGAGAGUUCAUGUAUUAGCCGAGCCCUAUUUUAGUCUUGAAAUCAAUAUAAUUCAAGCAACAUAGUGGAUGUAGCCCAGUUUUGAGGGGUGAACUAUUUAAAUCAAAAGACUGUUUACUACCCUCAUGUUUCGUGGUUUUCAACAUUUAGUACAUCAAGUUUUUUUCGUCUCAGAGUCAUACCUAAAGUGUAAAUUUUGGGACAGUCUCAUACAUCUGUUAAUCAAAGUGUUAAGUAUUCCGUUAACUGAUGAUGUGGCGCCCACGUGGACAAUGACUGGGUGCCACCUGUCAAUAAGGGGUCCACUUGGAAUUCAAAAUUCAAAAAAAAUAUUGAAAUAAUUACUUUUAAAAAUAUUAUAUUAAAAAAAAGUCCAAAACCAACCCAGAACCCCCUUCCUCCAUCCCCACCCGACACCCCUCAUCCCCUCCACCCCUUUCAUCUUCUCCACCCGACCCCUCUCUCUUCUCCCUUCGUUCUCCCUCCCUUCUAUUCGCUGCACAUCCAUCGGGCCGAAUCGAUUCCUUCAACUUCAAAACCAGAAAUCUCGCCUCAACGACGAGCUUCAACCCACAUAAAUCCUCAACCACCACAUUCAAAUUCCCCAAAUCGCACCCAAAUCCAAACCCAUUCAUGGCGUUAAAGAAAUCGGGGUGGUGGGAAUGAGUUGCAAAUCUGGAGGAAGGAGUUGCAUAUCUGGGUGGAAGACGGGCCGCCAUGAAAGGAGGAAGGAGUUGCAGAUCUGAAGGAAGAACUUGUGGGUGAGUUGGAAGGCGAAACAGUUGAGGUUCGAGUGGAGAUGUGACUCGGGCGAGUUCUGUUGAAUGGUGCAGACCCGGAGGAGGUGGGCCUGGUCAACCGGGGAUGGGGUGGCGGCGGCGACUUGGGUGGGAGCAGAGGAGAGAAUGGAAGGAGAUGGGAGGGAGGGUCAUUUGGGGAGGGGGGUUCAGGAAGAAGACAACUUCUAAAAAAAAAAAAAAUAUAUAUAUAUAUAUAUAUAUAAUAUUUUUAAAAUUAAUUAUUUUAAUAUUUUUUUGAAUUUUUAAUUCCAAGUGGACCCCUUAUUGACACGUGACGCCUAGUCAUUGUCCACGUGGGCGCCACAUCAUCAAUUAACAGAAAACUUAACAGUUUGACUAACAGAUGUAUGAGAUUGUCCCAAAAUUUACACUUUAGUUAUGACUCUGAGACGAAAAAAACUUGAUGUACUAAAUGUUGAAAACCACGAAACAUGAGGGUAGUAAAUAGUCUUUUACCCUUAAAUCUUGGAGUCCAUUUCAUUGUAGUCCAUAUCCUAAGCCCACCAAAGGUUUAGUGUUUUAAUAUAUUAACCUGUAAAUUUUGAGCGGUAGCAACACCUCUAGAUCAGGUGUCAGCUCCUCCAUUGGCGUGUCGGGUUGUAGGAGAUAUUGGCAAGGUACUCGUCCUUCUUCUGCAACACAGAAGCCUACAAAACAAAAACAAAAACAAACCCAAUUAAGAUUAUCAAUCCAUAAUUUUUAAAAUUUAAGUAAAUGAAUUUUGAAAUUUCCCAACGAAAUGUAAACUCUAAACCCUAAGUCACCAAGAAAAAGGAGAAUUGACCAAUGAAAUAUUUAAUGAAUUGGGAUUUGUCUGAUGACAUGGUUCGUCAGGUAAAGAUACCUUCGCCAACGAAUUGUUGUUCUGUCAGGCAAAAGUUAGACAUUUUUCCCUUGGCACAUAAUUUUUGUCUGGCGAAUUUACUUUGCUCGUCGAAAUGUUUCAAUCGCCUAAAGCCUCUGAAAAAAUUUAAAACGUUGAUCAUUUUUACCCGACCAAUGUUUUUAGGGAAAAUUUGAAAUAGGUCCAAUUUUAUAUGCCUACUUUUGAAAUAGGUCCAAUUUUUAGUGACUUUUGACUUUUGAAAUAAGUCUAAUUUUUAGUUACUUUAGACCCAUAUCAAAAUACCCCAUGUUUUAAUUCCAUUGAGUAAAGGCACUUUGCUCAACGAAAUUUGGUUCGUCGGGCGAUUGGUAAUUUCUGGUAUAGCAGGCAUUUUUUUACUAUUUUACAAUUUGGCUAUAGUGCGCUAGUAAUUCCAUGGACAGUGACCUCUGCCUCCACGAAGCAUGUAUCCUUCAACACAAACGCCAUGCCUACCUGAUUGAAAAGACUCAGUGUAAUGAAUCUCCACCAUCCCCACUCUAAAUUUGAAGCACUGAACCAGUAAUUUACUACAAGCACCAAAAGUUUUAUAAGUUUACGAGUAUCUUGGAAUCUAACGCACAAAGACGCUACGAACUUUUCAUAAAAAAUAGAACUAAAUGACCCUAAACAACAGAUUAUAUUGUUGUCUAUGUAUUAUCGUCCUUUUAGUGUUACUCAAAACAUUCAGUUGCUUUCUACUAAAAGCCCAACAAGAGUCAACAUUUCGCAAGAACCAACCACAAAUUGUGAACACUUUCAGUAGGUUACAAGCAUAAAUUAUCAAACAACCUUCCACAGAACUCAAGUUCAAUAGUAAGCAUCACCACGUUGUAUCGUAUGCCAUCAAGAUUCAAACGCCACAAAGAACUCGAGCGUCGUCGUCGUUCAUGGGGUGAAUUUCAUAAGAGGCCGGCAAUAAAACAUCCUUAAUUUUGAAGUUUAUAACAUUUUCAUAUCCUUAUUUCCUCAUAUGAUUAUGUAGCAAUUGGAUUAAGCAAAUCUUUACCUUUACCAAACUGAUGUCUGGCAUGCACCUGGUCUAGGAGGCAUAGGCUAAACUCUGCAUAUAUUUUACAGUCAGGAGGAAGAGAUUUUGGUUCGGCUAACGCCCAAAGAGCCAGAUGGGCACCAACUCCAUUGCCUUUUUAACUUGGGAUAGAGCUGUAUCUUCCUGCAAAACAACCAAAACAUUUACAAAAUAUUUAGUUAAACCGUGCUUAAGCUUCCGAUGUCUUCGAGAGAAAUUUAUUACAGAGGGAGAGAAGUCUAACAAGUUUAGGGUUAUAUACCAUUUCAGGUCUUCCGCAGUAAAUACUUUUGAGUCGUAGGAUUCGGCGUCUAGCUCUGAGAAGUUGUCAAUCCUCCAAGUAUUCUUGUACAUAACAGGAUCCUUUACCACAUUGAUAGACAUUGUCCUUUGCCUGUGCUUCGCUCUGUACAAACAAAGACCUCCUCUCCGAACACACAGGUGUCAUCAAUGAGGAAUCCAUUGGAAGCUUCAGUGAAAGCUUUGUGGGAGAGAAAUUGAUCGAACCCCAAAUCGAAUUUCAUCCCAUGAAAGGGCCUUUCCUUUUGUUCAAAGCAAUGGACGGGGAAAACAUACAAGAAAAUGAGACGAUGCUUUGCAAAUAUGAGAACUAUAAGCUUCUUGAUUGUUUGAAUUGAAUGAAAGAAAUAGUACCUUGAAAAACAAAGUAGUGGCUGUUCUGAUCAAGCAAAAACAACCUGAAAACAGCAUACACUUCUGAAGAAAUCUGGGGGGCAUUUAUUCCUGACAUUACCAAGUAGAGAGAGGUUCUUUCACAUUCAUGUUCUUGUUUCCGUUUGGAUAGAAAACCAGUUUCCUGCAGCAAUACAACAAAUUAUACUAUUAUAAAUUAAGCAGCUCGAAAAUAAGAAGAAAAUACUAGUAAUUGAUGGAAAGUUUAUGAAAAUAGAAAUAGUAAGAAUUUGUUCUUAGAAACUGAGAGAAAGGAUUGUACCAUUUGUAUCUUCAGUUCUAGAAUAAAAUAUGUUUUCCCGCUUUUAUAAGGAAAAGUUAAAGGUGUUAUUCCUAACAUGAAACCUUUUAAAGAUUGAAUUGUUAUGCUUUGCUUCAAAAAGGUUGCCUUUGUUUCGUUGAAAAGGUAUCCAUCACCUGCUUGUGGGUGCUUCGAAACACAUUCUGCAAUUUUAAUUCUUAUGCAAAGGAACAAUGUUUACGGUGUAGCAUUUUCAAACAAGUUAAGGUUAGACUAACCAAACAAAGUUUUUAGCUAAACACAAGAUAAGCUACUUUAAAAUAACUGGUCAAGACUCGGCAUAUGUCUCACAGGACGGAUUUUUUAAGAAAACAGGUCCUAUCAAGAUACACUUCAAUCACAAGUCAUUUGGUGGAAAGGAUUGCAGCUCUAGGGUUCUACAGAACGCCACUUUUAGGACAAACCAUAUCGCGGAUCCAGAACUACAUUCGUAUUCAUAAGUCAAUUAACAUCAUUUUCACAAUAUCCGAAAUCAAAUACAAGCUGACUAUAGUCCUUCCGCAAUUCCAUGGAUAGUGACCUCUGCCUCCAAUAUGCAAGUAUCGUUCAACAGAAACCCCUUGUGUGCCUGAUUGAAGGUUUCCAGUUUAAGGAACGUAGACCAACCCCAAUCCCGAGUUGAGUUACUGAACCAGUUGUUAGCUGCACAUAAUACACCCUGAGGUUAUGAAGGAUUCAUACAAUUAAACACUGAAAUUGGACAAUCUUUACCUAUAAACCACUCAUGUUUGGCAUGCAUUUGAUCU
rnacentral:lncRNA from 1 species